UGUUUCGAAUGAAAGUGUUGGUUGUGCUGCGCUGUGCCGCUGCGGUGGUAGAUGACUGUGUUAUCUCCAGAAUCGAACAAUGCCUGCAAGGGUAAAGCGUAUCAUCCAACGAUGAGGUUAAAGAAAAUGAAAAGACAAAUAAAGAAUUUGGAGACGUUACAAUUGAUGAAUUUAAUUCACCCAGAAAAUCCUUAGAUACUUAAUAAUGUCUAAUUCACAUACACUUAUUUCAUUCAGUGGAUUAUACUUAUAUUUUCCAAACUGAAAUAUACGAUGUACCACAUACAAGGAGCUAGGAAGUUCUAUUGAAGUGUAAAAUCAUGUUAACAUUAUGAACAUCUAAACUUUCAUAUAGAUACAAACUAAUAAGAUGUACACCUUAAUUAUUGAUACAGAAUUCCUCACUGGUGAUCUGAUUGUUGUGCAUAGGCGUUCCCCAGAUUUUACUUCAGAUGCAGCAUAGAUGGCUAAUUUCUAGAGAAGUAAAAUACAUUUUAGUAAUUCACAGACACAUUGGUACUACUCUGAGCACGACUAAUAAAUUAUAUCCAAGAGAAAAUUGUGUUUCUCCAACGAUGAGUUAGAAGAAAAUGAACAGACUAAUAAAGAAUUUGGUAUCGCCAACCGGAGCAAGGGGACCGUAGAUAUAUACUUCCUGUAUUGUGGUGAUA